rnacentral:rRNA from 1 species
GAGAGAGACAUGCGCGCAUAUCAAUAAGCGGAGGAAAAGAAACUAACAAGGAUUCCCUUAGUAACGGCGAGUGAAGCGGGAAGAGCUCAAAUUUGAAAUCUUCAAGGUUCUACCUUGACGAAUUGUAGUUUAAAGAAGUGUUUUCUGCUUGGAAGUUUUGGUAAAAGUUCUUUGGAAUAGGACAUCAUAGAGGGUGAGAAUCCCGUAUUUGACCAUUAUUUUCAGCUUUGUGAUACACUUUCAAAGAGUCGGAUUGUUUGGGAAUGCAGGUCCAAAAUGGGUGGUAAAUUUCAUCUAAAGCUAAAUAUUGGCGAGAGACCGAUAGCGAACAAGUACCGUGAGGGAAAGAUGAAAAGAACUUUGAAAAGAGAGUUAAACAGUACGUGAAAUUGUCAAAAGGGAAGCGUUUGACACCAGUGUUGUUUUCUCGAAAAUCAAUUAAAAAUGGCUCGAUUUUGUAUUGCUUGAGACCUUAAAAGCCUCACUGUACAUUUUUCGUGUCUUUUUUAAUGCACUUUUCGUUUAACAAGUCAACAUCAGUUUCUUUUGUUGUAAAAGGGUCAUUGGAAGGUGGCUUUCUUUUCGGAGAAAGUGUUUAUAGCCUUUGGCCUCUGCAAUCGGAGAGACUGAGGUCUGCAGCGUAGAUCUCUUCGGGGUUAGAUACAUUUGUGCUAAGUUAUAGCUUUUUAUAGACAACUUGUUGACUAUAAUUAGUCUUGUAGCUUACUCGCUUAUGCUAUUUUACCUACGCUUAGGAUGUUGAGUCGUAGAGCACGCAG